rnacentral:rRNA from 1 species
GGACGAACGCUGGCGGCGUGCCUAAUACAUGCAAGUCGAACGGUCUUUUCUAUGGAAGCUUGCUUCCACUGAGAAGAUAGUGGCGAACGGGUGAGUAACACGUGGGGUAACCUGCCCAUAAGAGGGGGAUAACAUCCGGAAACGGGUGCUAAUACCGCAUAGUUUUCUUGAUUGCAUGAUUGAGAAAGGAAAGACGGCCUUUGUGCUGUCGCUUAUGGAUGGACCCGCGGCGUAUUAGUUAGUUGGUGAGGUAACGGCUCACCAAGACGAUGAUACGUAGCCGACCUGAGAGGGUGAUCGGCCACAUUGGGACUGAGACACGGCCCAAACUCCUACGGGAGGCAGCAGUAGGGAAUCUUCCGCAAUGGACGAAAGUCUGACGGAGCAACGCCGCGUGAGUGAAGAAAGGUUUUCGGAUCGUAAAACUCUGUUGUCAGAGAAGAACAAGUUGGAGAGUAACUGCUCCAGCCUUGACGGUAUCUGACCAGAAAGCCACGGCUAACUACGUGCCAGCCGCCGC